rnacentral:rRNA from 1 species
GAUGAACGCUGGCGGCGUGCUUAACACAUGCAAGUCGAACGAAGAGGCCCAGCUUUUUGGGGGGGUUCGUGGGGAGCGGGGGAGUGACACGCGAGUAUACCCCCCCCAUAUCUGAGAUAUACCUCGGGGAAAGGGUGGAAUAUAGCGUAGAUGAGUUCAUGCUGCGGUGGGUGCUGGGGAGAGUUAUGGCGGUUGGGGAUGGACUCGCGGCUUAUCAGCUUGUUGGAGAGGUAGUGGCCCACCAAGGCGUCGACGGGUAGCCGGCCUGAGAGGGUGACCGGCCACACUGGGACUGAGACACGGCCCAGACUCCUACGGGAGGCAGCAGUGGGGAAUAUUGCACAAUGGGCGGAAGCCUGAUGCAGCGACGCCGCGUGCGGGAUGACGGCCUUCGGGUUGUAAACCGCUUUCGCAGGUGACGAAGCGGGAGUGACGGUACCUGCUGAAGAAGCACCGGCUAACUACGUG